rnacentral:rRNA from 1 species
AUACGAAGGGGGCUAGCGUUGUUCGGAAUCACUGGGCGUAAAGCGUACGUAGGCGGAUCGUUAAGUCAGAGGUGAAAUCCCGGAGCUCAACUUCGGAAUUGCCUUUGAUACUGGCGAUCUUGAGUUCGGGAGAGGUGAGUGGAACUGCUAGUGUAGAGGUGAAAUUCGUAGAUAUUAGCAAGAACACCAGUGGCGAAGGCGGCUCACUGGCCCGAUACUGACGCUGAGGUACGAAAGCGUGGGGAGC